GAAACACGGACCAAGGAGUCUAGCAUGUGCGCGAGUCAUUGGGAAUCACUAAACCUAAAGGCGCAAUGAAAGUGAAGGCCCGCCCAGCGCGGGCCGAGGGAAGAUGGGCGGUCACGGUUUCCGUGCCGCUCCGCACUCCCGGGGCGUCUCAUUCUCAUUGCGAGAAGAGGCGCACCAAGAGCGUACACGCUGGGACCCGAAAGAUGGUGAACUAUGCCUGGUCAGGACGAAGUCAGGGGAAACCCUGAUGGAGGUCCGUAGCGAUUCUGACGUGCAAAUCGAUCGUCGGAACUGGGUAUAGGGGCGAAAGACUAAUCGAACCAUCUAGUAGCUGGUUCCCUCCGAAGUUUCCCUCAGGAUAGCUGGCGCUCGUCGCCUACGAGUCUCAUCCGGUAAAGCGAAUGAUUAGAGGCAUUGGGGUCGAAACGGCCUCAACCUAUUCUCAAACUUUAAAUGGGUGAGAUCUCCGGCUUGCUCGAACUUAUGAAGCCGCGAGACACGGAUCAGAGUGCCAAGUGGGCCAUUUUUGGUAAGCAGAACUGGCGCUGUGGGAUGAACCAAACGCCGAGUUAAAGCGCCUAAAUCGACGCUUAUGGGAUACCAUGAAAGGCGUUGGUAACUUAAGACAGCAGGACGGUGGCCAUGGAAGUCGGAAUCCG
rnacentral:rRNA from 2 species